rnacentral:rRNA from 1 species
GCCGCGUGUGUGAAGAAGGCCUUCGGGUUGUAAAGCACUUUUGUUAGGGAGGAAAGUCUGGUAGCUAAUAACUGCUAGAUCUGACGUUACCUAAAGAAUCAGCACCGGCUAACUCUGUGCCAGCAGCCGCGGUAAUACAGAGGGUGCAAGCGUUAAUCGGAAUUACUGGGCGUAAAGGGUCUGUAGGCGGAUUAUUAAGUCGGAUGUGAAAUCCCCGGGCUCAACCUGGGAACGGCAUUCGAUACUGGUAGUCUAGAGUGUGCAAGAGGAUGGGGGAAUUCCUGGUGUAGCAGUGAAAUGCGUAGAGAUCAGGAGGAACAUCAAUGGCGAAGGCACCUUUCUGGGGCAACACUGACGCUGAGAGACGAAAGCGUGGGGAGCAAACAGGAUUAGAUACCCUGGUAGUCCACGCCCUAAACGAUGUCAACUAACUGUUCGGAGUCACUAAGAUUCUGAGUAGUGAAGCUAACGCGAUAAGUUGACCGCCUGGGGAGUACGGCCGCAAGGUUGAAACUCAAAGAAAUUGACGGGGGCCCGCACAAGCGGUGGAGUUAUGUGGUUUAAUUCGAUGCAACGCGAAGAACCUUACCCGGUCU